rnacentral:rRNA from 1 species
AUGGCAACGGCGGGCGCGACGAACGCGGUGUGGCACGUGCGUGGGCAUGGAGAGCCAGAGAGAGAGUGGCCCCGCGGGCACGGAAGAAGAGCUGAAGGCUCGGGCAUGGGCACGCAUAGGAGCGGGCAUGUGCCACGGGGUCAAUCCGAGGAGCUCAAUGGCUACCCCUGCAAUGGCCAUGGCGGACGGCGGUUCUCGGCCACAGUGAAAUACCUAACAAGAGCAAACGAGAGGGGAAACUGGGGAAAGACAAGAGGAUAUCACGGCGGUGUCAAUGGCACCCUAGGGGAAGACAGGGGAGCUCGGGGCGGCGCGAUCGAACGACAAUGUCGCGGUGGUCGAAGGUUGAGGAAGACGGCAACGACGUCGAUCUGGGGGUGCUGGACUUGA